CGGACGGGUGAGUAACGCGUGGAAAACCUGCCGUAUACUGGGGGAUAACACUUAGAAAUAGGUGCUAAUACCGCAUAAGCGCACAGCUUCGCAUGGAGCGGUGUGAAAAACUCUGGUGGUAUACGAUGGUUCCGCGUCUGAUUAGCUAGUUGGUGGGGUAAUGGCCUACCAAGGCAACGAUCAGUAGCCGGCCUGAGAGGGUGAACGGCCACAUUGGGACUGAGACACGGCCCAAACUCCUACGGGAGGCAGCAG
rnacentral:rRNA from 1 species